rnacentral:tRNA from 1 species
GCUGAAGUAGUUUAAAAGGUUAAAACAUACCACUCAUGACGGUAAAAAAAAGGUUCGAUUCCUUUUUUCAGCU